rnacentral:rRNA from 1 species
CAGCCGCCACGGGAAUACGAAGGGGGCUAGCGUUGUUCGGAAUUACUGGGCGUAAAGCGCACGUAGGCGGAUUUUUAAGUCAGGGGUGAAAUCCCGAGGCUCAACCUCGGAACUGCCUUUGAUACUGGAGAUCUUGAGUUCGGAAGAGGUUGGUGGAACAGCUAGUGUAGAGGUGAAAUUCGUAGAUAUUCGCAAGAACACCAGUGGCGAAGGCGGCUCACUGGUCCGGUACUGACGCUGAGGUGCGAAAGCGUGGGGAGCAAACAGGAUUAGAUACCCGGGUAGUCCCUGUCUCUUAUAC